CCCUUAGAUGUUCUGGGCCGCACGCGCGCUACACUGAUGCAUUCAACGAGUUUCUUCCUGGUCCGAGAGGAAUGGGUAACCUUUUGAAAGUGCAUCGUGAUAGGGAUAGACUAUUGCAAUUAUUGGUCUUCAACGAGGAAUUCCUAGUAGACGUAGUUCAUCAGACUGCAUCGAUUACGUCCCUGCCCUUUGUACACACCGCCCGUCGCUCCUACCGAUUGAAUGCUCAGGUGAGCCAUUCGGACUUUCAUCAUGCUGGUUUCCAGUUUUGAUGAAGGAAAGUCUUGCGAACCCUAUCAUUUAGAGGAAGGAGAAGUCGUAACA
rnacentral:rRNA from 1 species